rnacentral:lncRNA from 1 species
UUAAAUUAGGAAACUUGCCAAAAUUUGAAAAUUCGCCUGGAUCACAUCAGACCCUCUCUCUCUUCGAAAGGAUUCGUCCUUGAAUUCCGUUCCAAGUUGUAACCUUUAUCUCCAAUCAUGGCAAGAACAUGAAAUGGUCCGUCUCCCCUUGGAUGCAAUUUGGAUCACCUUUGACUUCGUAUUCGUCUUGUCCAUAAGUAAACCCAAUCAUCUUCACCUUAAUCAAAAUGUGCUCGCCUUGAUUGCAUAAUCAUGCUAGCGGGAAUUGCUUCAAUGACAACUCUAUUUGAUGAAUAACCGUGCAUCUUCCUUGCUUUACUUGGCCCAAGCACUUGAAACAGUAUUAUUUCCAAUGUAUCAAUGUUGUCCUUCAGUUCAUCUUCCUCAAUCAACUCUCUGCAUAUGUAGUUCCUCCAGUGCCUUUGAAACUCCUUGCACAUCAAUUCAUUCCAUGGCGACUCCUUUAUCUCUUCAAGGAUAACAAAAUCAAUCUUCAGUAUUAUAGCGAUUUCCAGCUGAUGGUGGUGUUGGUUAUUUUCAUCCACACAUUGAUAUCCAAUCUGAAGCUCAAUUCCCAGGUCAGGUGGUAUUCUAAUAGGAUUAUUUUUUGGAAUUAAAUCUUCGGUAACCUACAAAACAGAAAUAGCCAAACUAGGGAAGCAAAUGUUAGUUUUCUCCAACGCCGCCUCAACUUCACGCUCAUCUUCAUUUAAGCUCACUUCCAACUCCUUCUUUCCCUCUAAAGAUUCUUCUUCAAUUUCUUUUUGCAGAUCCACUACCCCCUUUAGAUAUUCACACUCAAUUUCUCUUUUACCUUUUCUUUCUUUUCCUCAAAAUCAACCACCUCACUAUUUUCUCUCCUUCCCUUUUGUUCCUUCAUGUAAGUUUUCUGAGAGUUAAUUAGGUCAUGAAUCUCUGAGAGUUCAUGCUUAUAAUCCGAUCUAGUCCUCCUGCUACGAGUAUGAUCAACAUGCUUCACAAACGGUGUUUUCUCUUCCCUUGAAUAUCCAACUCCACUAUAUCUUCUAGGCUCCUCUCUAAAUUCUUGCUCACGCUGAUCCCGCUUAUAAAAAUAAUUAGGUGCAUAUCGCUUCCUCAUUAUAGUCCUCAAUUCAUCCCAAAUUUCAAUACGUUUCUCUCCAUUCCUCCGCCCAGGUUUUGUCAACUGAUCCCACCAGUAUUUGCAUAAUCUACAAAAGUGUUCAUAGCCAACUUCAAUUUUCUCUCCCCCAGAGUAAUUAUGGCAAUCAAACACUAAUUCUA